GUACUAUGAUCACUAACAACUGCAGAUUCAGAGCAUAAGAACAAGUCAUGACACGAAGCUUGAAUGUUGAACUCAUUGUGGCGUUGUUCUUGAUACAUUGGUGGAAUGUAAGGCAGAGAUUUAAAAUAAGGUUCCUUCUCCAAUGGCAAGAGGAGAUGUCCAUUCUUUGUUCGCCAAUUAGUGCACUGGAGUAGCAAGGUAAAGGGGCAAUGAUCCACUAUUGGCCGACUGUUGUUGUAGUUAACAAAGCAUCUAGCGAAAAAAGGAUCAGUGAUAACAGAGCACCAUUCCUUUGAGACAGACUUGCAUCGCGUGGCG